GCCUUGCCUUGUGUAGAACUCUGCUGUCCUGGGAGCUGCCUGCAGUCCAGUGGGAACUGAGUUAGUCCCUUCCGAAGGCAUUGUGAUCUCAGCUUCUCAGAGGUCCCCAUGCUUGGUUGCCACACUAGGGACAAAGCUUCCCACACAGCGAACUUUGAGGUAUACAUCCAAACUUACAGCAUCAAAGUUGUGUAUUUCAUUUAAAAAGCUUCAUAAAAAGUGGUCCUAUUUCAGACAAAAUUUUAAAAAUAAAAUCACAUAAAUACUUAGAUGAAAUUUCUACAUAUAGAGGGCUAUAUUCUGGGUAUCCUAGGGAGACAAGAGUCAAAUGGAAUAGUUUGCAGGAUGUUUGGACUCUCACGAAGCUUUCUCCUCUAUAUAUUCACAGAACUAUGAGUACCACUUCCCCUUUGUUGUACAUAAAGGGGCAUUAAUAUUAUUUUCAUACUGUCCUAGCAACUUAGAUAUUUAUAGGUUAUACUUUUCAAAUGACUUGAAAUAAUUAAGCAUUAUAUCCUAUAAAUAAUAGUUUUCUGCAGUUGAGAAAUAAAUGUUACCAUAGGGAAAUUGGCUAUGCUGUGCAAAUAUUACAUAUAGUAGCAUUUACUUAAAACUACAUAUAUAAAGUUGUUACAAAUUGAACUCCAGGGAUUAUGCAUAUAGGAUACAUCUCAGUUACGUCUAGUCUUGUGUAAAAUAUCACUAUGUCCAACUGCAGAGAUUCUGGGUAAACUGGUCAAAAUAGUCCUGUUUGAAUUUUUAGAUCACAGUGUUGAUGUAAAAUUAUGCAUUUUUAUUCUAUUACAAAUAUAGUGAAGGUCUUGGCAAAUGAUGGUCAGUCGCACUUAUGAAUGGAAUCCAGACUGGCUUGAAAGUUUGUGGCCCUUGGGCAGUACAGCCUCAAUCUCCUUGUCACUUGUGUUCUAAUCUUUAAAGGAAGGAUAGGAGGAGCUUGGUUUUUGUUAUUUUUUUUCUCUUGGUGGGGGUCAGAAAAUUCUAGCAUAUUAUCUGAGAGCUUUAAUAUACAAAUAUAGUUUUUUACUGGGACAUACCAAAGGAAAAGUAAUUAAUUUCAUGAUCACUGUCAGUUGUCACAUUUGCAAAAACUAUAAUAUAUAUUAAUUUUCAUUUUUGUAUGAACAAUUACAAAUUUAUCCCAUAGAGAGAUAGGUCCUUCUUGUACUCUGAAUCCUAAUUACUUAAAUGUCAAACAGGAAUGAAAGCGAAACACAAAACCCACGGUCUCCUUGGAGUUGGAGGUAACGUCUUCUGCUUCAAGGAUUGUUGGUAGGAUUAAGUGUCACUGUGUAAGGAGCUGUCACAGUCCUUAGUGUCUCGCUUUGAGUUCUGUCUAGCCCUGGCUGAAAUAGUACCAGGUCCAACCGCAGAGAUUCUGUGCAACUGGACUCAGCAGAAUAACACGUUUUGAGUUUUUGGAUCAGUGUUGGAUUAAAAUUGUAUGUUUUUAUUCCAGCUUCGUGCUGCCCGUGAGUGUUGUUGACUCAGUAGCUGGCAGCACUGACUGAACACUUACCUGCGUGUUCCGUGCUGCCUCAAGUAUGUCACACACACACUUAGUCAUCGCAGGAACCUGUGGAAGGGUUUACUGCCCUUAUGCUGAUUUUAUAAUGAGGAAAGGAAGGUUCCAAGAAGCCCAGCGGUGUCCAGUCAUGUGAAUGUAGGGUUAGUGAGAGCUCAGACCUAGCUGCUCUGGGCUGUCUGUAACCUGCCUAACCGUGACUCCACAAACAAAGGCGCACAUUUCCACUUUUGGCUUACUUGGCUACAGUUGUGAAAAGUGGCACUAAAUGUGUCCUCUGUAGCUCAUUCCCUACUUGAACUGCUAUCAAAAAGUUGUAGAUGCUUAAAUAAAUAGUAGCAGUAGUUACUUUAUUAAUGCACUUGGCUUAAGGUUUUGCUAAUUUUAUUCUCAUUUCUUACUAUUAGCGUGCAUAAGCGCAGGCGUGCAUGCCGUGGAGGCCAGCUUUUGUGAGAGGGUGCAGGCCUGCCUUCUUCAGUCAGUUCCAGGGAUGGAGCUCAGGUUAGCAAGCUUGCCCAGUUCAUCUCAUCAGCCCAGCAGGACUUUUAAAUAAAACAUACUGUCAUUUUUGCUUAACCACCGGCUUCUUUUCAGAAAUGGGUCCUUUUGUUACUAUCCGAGUGUUCCUGUAAGAAACAGAUGCUGUAGAUGGUUCACUGUGGCCUCUCAGUGCAGUGUAAAUGUGAGAUGUAUGGGGCUUCUCCCGGGUAACCUGAUGCACUCCGUCUCUUGCGGUGGAGGUGAAUGGAUACUUAGUAAACGUAGGAGCACUCUGACUUCCCAGGCAGGAACUGCUGUCUAUCCACGGUCUCACGGCCUUUUGCUUUACACAGAUGUGCCAUAGGUUUGUGUGGGUCAGUCUCAUCAGAGCCACAGGAGAGAGAGGUGUUCUAGGAUGGCCCUAAGGUCACUGGGUGACAGGGGUGUUUUGAUCUCAGAAUAAUGCCUCAUAGGUGGCUCAGUAUGGCUCAUAGAUGACAUGUGUGGUCAUGACCACAUGUCAGUGAGUGGUGCAUGGCUGUUUCGGUGACUCAGAAGUGUUGUUCAUUACUGAUAGGUUAUAUGGAUUACUAUUUUAAACUAUGUACAAAGCUUAGAGUAUUUUCAUUAAUGGUUGGGAAUGCUAUUUCUUAUACUAGGUGGGGUUAUAAAAUUCAUGGGUUUUGGAGAUUUUCCCCAUACAUUUGUUAUAAAAAUAUGAGCAACACUAUUUAGGGAUUAAAAUAAAGAUGAAGGGAAGUCUGUUUGGUCUUCUACUGUAGUUUACUUAGAGCUCAGGAAAGUCUUCUACUUUUUAAGACCAAACUUUAUUUUUCAGUAAUAUAUAGAUUUUGAAAGCUAUUUUAACAGUUUAAACAAUUUUACAAAUAAUUUCUACUCUAUGAUAAUUGAAAUGACAUUUAUCAAAAAUAUAAACAAUCAGCAAUUGAAUGGUGUUGAUUUAGCUUUCAAAACUUUAAGAAUUAAUAUGGUAGGUUUAUUAGAACUUACAUGUUGAAUUUUGACCCCUUGUUUGAUAAUAAAGAUAUAUUUGAACUACUCUUUUAUUGUUAGUAGAAUACUGAAUCUUUUCUGUUCUCACUAGUAGAGUCUUCAUAAUUCAUGAUCCAACGUUAGUUUAAAUAGAAAAUUGGACCUCAAAUUAUCUUUGCUCAGAUGACUUUGUAGGAGAAAAUAUUAUUGGGACAGUACUUCAGUAAACCCACUGAGAACAUACUGCGUGUCCCAGCAAGCUGGAAAGUAAACAGUUGUUGUAAAUUAUGCAGGACGGUGUUGGUUUCCAUUACAGCAAUACUCUCUUUCAAGUUGGGCCAGGAAACAACGCUCCUGUACCCUGCUUCUGCUUCUCCCAGCACAUGUGAACUGCCAACCACCAACAGCCUAGAUUUCCGAAGGAAAGGCCAGCCUGGCCUAGUUACAUUCUUCACAGCAGUGUAUACAAACAUUUCUUCUGAGCUUGUAGUAUUAAUCUGUUUCUUUCUGUUAGUCAUACUUUUCUUUGAAUUUUUUUUUUGGUGGUGGGGCGGGGAGAACUGGCUAGAGCUGGAUGUCUGGUUUUAGGUCUUUGUGGGGGAGGGGAAUAUGCUGGAUCAAAUAGCAUGGACCUGGAGUGUGGGAAUCACUUCAGAAUACAGUAGAACUUCAGGCCUUUAUGCUUAGUGAUCUGAUUCUCCCUAAGUGUACAAGAGAUAGGAAUGGAAUUAACUAGGUACAUGCUUUUAAGAUUUAAUUCAUCAAGACCUUACAUAUUAAAGCUGUUAGCUUUCCAUCAGAGAGUUAAUAUGGGACUUGAAAUGAUCCAGUGUAACUAACGUGUGUUACUACUGCCUUGAGAAUGGACUGAGGGGAAGGACAGUCAUGGCUAUUUUUGCCUCUUAGGUGGCAACCAUUGUUUGUUAUGGAGUUAGGAAGGUUUUCUUUGGCUUCCUCAGCAUCUGGCAGUCUCCCAGUCCGCUCACAUCUGCCAGUCAGGCUGUCUCCCCUCUGCUCCCUCUGGUCCUGUGUGAGCCAGCCGAGUGUCUUCUGCUACAAGAGCCUUCCCUGGAGUACCGGUGCGUGUGCGUGGACUGGCUUUUCAUCCCUUUUCUCUUUCGAAAUGUUCUGUGUCCUUUUGUGGGAUUUACAUUUUUGACAGUUAAGUUUUUUAGCUAAAUGUUUCUCCAAAACUCAGAAACCAAAACUCUAAUGUGUUUUCCCACCGAGACUUUAUUAAUGAUCAUUUGUAGCUGCUUUCUCCACUGCGUGGUUCCUUCUCCUCAGUCUUCAUGUGAGGCCUCUGCCUAGUCCUAACCUGACACUCCAUUGCUUCUUGAGAAUAUGAACUAUUGGCUAAUCCCGAUUUUCCUAAAUGUCUUAUCACAGUCAGAAAAGUAAUACAUGACUGUAAUAGGAAAAUGGGAAAAAAGCAGGAAGUAGAAGAGAAGUUGAAAUCAAUUUCUGUUGGGCAUGGUGGUCAAGUGCAAGAACUAGUUUCUAUGAGUUCAAGGUUAGCCUCCUCGACAUAGUGAGUUCCAGACCCAGCCAAAGAGACCUUGACUCAAAAACAAACAAACCAAAAGCAGGCAAACAAAAUCCCAUCAAAGCCCAAAUCAUACAAUUGCCCUCUGGUCGUUUCCACUCUGUGCUGAUGGUCAUAGUCAGGGCCGGUUGCUGCACUCCUUUCACCCUUUCUCACCCUUGGGGGCCCUCCACACCCUACUUGAACCUUGCUGUCCAUGCAGUGCCCCAUCACCUUACUUGCCAGCCCCAGCCAAUGGAUGUCAGCCCUCAGUACAGCGUCUCCCUUCCCAUCCCAUGGCAUUCUGUGCCUGACCCUCUCUUCCCUGUGUCUGGUUCACCACUGGAUCUGGCAACCUGGUUUUCAUCCCUAACCCCGGUUCAUCCAAUUUGCUGUAGCAAUGAAUUGUUCUGGACAAGUAAGGGGGUGGGGCAGGGAGGAGGAAAGGAAUUAAUCAAGAUUAAACAGUGUAUAUAUCUUAAGUGUGUAGCAACAGUAUAUUGUAAGGUAUUUGAUGGCAGAGGGCCUAGUGCCCCAGUGUCAACAGUGGAAUUUGCACAUGAAUUCACACCCUGCCGUCAAAUACCUUUCUGGUUUCUAAGGCUCUCCUUGACUUUGAGCCUUCUCUUCAUUUGAAUAUGUAUUAGCUGUCCCUAUACUGUGUUCUGGGUUUCUUCCAGUUACUGUUUUUCUAGAGAUGAUCAAAUAGGCAAUGUGACACACACAGUUUUUGCUACUGAGUUCCAGACUUUUUAUAUUUUUAUCCCCUGAAUUUGGGUUACAAUUUCUAGUUGUCUUUUUGUAACCUUUUGUUUUAUUGUGUGUAGAGUCCCAGUACACAAGCCACCCAUCCCCACCUUUGUUUUUGUUUUUUGUUUUUUUUUCUUUUUUUCCGGAGUUGGGGGAGUUGGGGGACCAAACCCAGGGCCUUGCGCUUCCUAGGCAAGCGCUCUACCGCUGAGCUAAAUCCCCAACCCCCAUCCCCACCUUUGUUAUGCAUAUCGAGGUCUGUUUUAUGUGUUAAUGCCAUCCCUCCUUGAUAGUGUUUAUUUGGUUCUUUUUGAAUUAUAUAUGUGAAUAUUUAACCAUUCAGUUCCUGGAUAAAAGACACCCACACAACCUUUAUAUUUACAUUAAGCCUUAAACCGCACAAGAGCUGGGCAGAUAGCUACCCUCUUUGCUAUAAGAGUCUGCUUUCCUAUCGAUAACCCUGAGUGUGUGUGCAUGUGUGCGUGCGUGCGUGUAUUAUCAUAUUCUUAGGGUUAGUGCGCGGUAGGGUGUGGUUUGGAAUGAUUGUGAGAUUUUUGCUGGUUAUGAUUAACAGGACAAAUGGAAGCGUCAGUAAUUAAUGACAUGUUAUUACCUCUUGAUUAGAAACUGUUCCCCCCACACUUUUAUUUUGUGUUAGUGUAAGCUUGCAUGUAGGUGUGUGUGCAUGUGUGGAGGUCAUAGGACAGCUUUGAGGAGUUGAUUCUCUUCUUUUAUUAUGGGUUAGGGAAAUUAAACUCAGGUUGUUAGGCUUGCUUGACAGAUGACUUUGCCUGAUCAGGAAUUUUGCUGCCCCAAGAAAAAGUCAUAUUCUCCAUACCAAGGGAUUUCAAAUCCUUUUAAAAGUUUCAUUUGCAUUCUAGUCAACCAACUUUAUUUUUCUCUAAUAAUACCUUUUGUUAUGGAACAAUCCUGGUGCUGAUUGAUUAAAAAAAUAAAAAGUAGUUAAAUCAUACAAGUUUACAGGAUGUAGAAGUAUAUUUAUUAUACAACUUAGAAUUAUUUCUUCAAUUAUACUUCCUUCUUUCAUUAACUUCCUAUACUACCGGGAUUAUAGUGGGAUAUUUAAAACAUUAAAAUUUAUGUGUUUAUUUACAGGGGAGCAUAUAUGCACUACUACAUGUCUGUGUGGGUUAGAGAACAAUUUGUGGGAGUCACAUCUCUUUCCAGCAUGUGGGUUACAGGAACUCAGGUCCUCAAACUUGGCAGCAAAUGCUUUUACAUACAAAGCCUAAGUAUUUGGCUUUGUAUGUAAAUUUUCCAAUGACUGUGUCGAAAACUUAUGAUUCUGUUUUUUUUUUAUCAUUAUUUUUUUAAUUUUAAACAAAAGUUGAGUCAAAAGAGUUAGAAUCUGGUUAAAAACAAUCACGGAAAUGACUACUCACAGGUUAGAGGCUGCAAAGGUGUGAAUUCCUCAGGCCACACCUUUUGGUCAUUGUCAUCCACAGUGAAUGAUGUCACAUGAUUAAACCUCUCCCUUUAGUCCUCACUGAAGUCAUCUGACUGUCUGACAUGUGAGCAUUGAUUCCUUUGGUAAAGGGAGACAUAACUUAGACACUUUUAGAUUCAUCUGAGAGGCAGUGGUUACAAAUAAAACAUUGUGGAAAGCUGCGAUUUUCAGAGCUUUGUUUAAAAGCCAGAAUAACUGUUAAUUCUGGGCAGUUGAUUGACAGGUUCCAGAUUCUGCUGUAAGUGUCCAGUGAUUGCACGGUGUGCUUCACAGAGAGGAGUAGAAGUACUUGUGACAGUUCUCUGGUACCCACCAGGGCAGUGUGAUUUGGAGCACUGCAGCGUUCUUUCAUUGAUUUCUAUCAUUGGCCUUUUAGUAUUUCAUUCUGGCCUCCAUUGCUUUUCUUCCAACUUUAUGUCGUAUUCUUAACUCCCUGACUUUUUAUGAAACUUACAGAUGGAUCAUUAUGGCAGCAUAAGCCGCAGUUUAGGAACCCCGGAGUUGAUUACUGCGAAGGAUGGCAGUAAGCCAUCUCUCCAGCCCCUCAGACUUUCUUGAAGUUUUCACUUGUCUUUGAGAUAUUGUCAUGCAUUAAACUGAUACAUUCUUGCAAACAAAGGCAGACAUGUAAUCAUCUGAUAUUUGCCAUGGAGGGAUUUGAGCUCUCUGUAUUAGCUUUUUUUAAAAAAAAAAUAACACUUGAUAUUUAUGAGAAUUAAAGACUUGUUUUUCAAAUAAUAUUCAGAAAAAUAGGAGCAUAGUAAUAUUAUGGGGGAAAGGUUUUUAGUUUGUGGGAGUUUAGUAUGUCUGUUUAUUAAAGGAAUUAGAUGAUUAAAAGUUAUGAGUCCAGGCUGCCUUUCACUCUUCUGAAGUACAUUUCUGAUCUUUUAGCCUUUUGUAUUAUCCAAGCACCCAGGACGGUCACACAGUGGAUAGCUACCUUUGGGAAGAUUCCAGGACGGUCACACAGUGGAUAGCUACCUUUGGGAAGAUUGAUGCUACUGGCUCUUCAGCCUUUUGAUAUCCGAGCUGCUGAUCACCUGAACGAAGUGACCUUAGACGUAAUUUAGCCCCUAAAAGUAGCUUUUGAGCUUGUUUCUCAGAACCACUUGCUUAGAAUUCGUACAUGCUUCCUGUUUACUGUUUUAUCACCUCAUCAUUUUAACAGACGUGUGUCUGAUACACCAAAUAUUUCCAGUUGUUCUGUGGGAGUCAGAGCUGAUUGUUACAGUUACUUAUGGCCGUCUUUCUCUGUAUCCGCUGGUCUUCUCUUUUUUAUCUUGUAUUCCCAGUCCUCCCUCCUCUCCCUCUCUGCUUUCUUCAUAUUGUCCUUUUGUAUUUUGUUUAUAUUGUGUGUAGAAAGAUACAAACUUGACAAUCAACAGCAGAAGGGGAUGGAUUCUUGUUAGUGACUGCGGUGGUAGACAUGAAACACUUCCUUUCUUAGAUGAUGGAUUCACAGUGCAGCUGGAGUGGACCUGGGUGUGAGAACUGGGUUCCCCAGUGGUAUAUGCCGUAUACAGUGUGGGUAUACAGCUGGUCUUUUCAUAGGUGUGAGGGACGGUGACUGUUUUUUUUUUUUUUUUUUUUUUUCUUUUUUUUUCGGAGCUGGGGACCGAACCCAGGGCCUUGCGCUCGCUAGGCAAGCGCUCUACCACUGAGCUACAUCCCCAACCCCGGGACGGUGACUGUUAAUAGUUCCUGGGUCCUUUGUAUCUGCUGCAUACGUGUACAGUGAGUGUGGCAGUGUGUUAGCUGCAGGAGUCGGUCGUGAGUAUUCAUUUCAAUCGUACGUGUUUGCCAUUAUGAAUUCUUUAUGUUUCUUUUAUUUCUGUAUUGAUUUAAGGAUGCUGCUGUGCCCUUGUUUUUCUUGUUUUUUUUUUUAAUUUUCACGUAUAAAUACCAGCAUUUAUUCAUAAAAAUAAGAGAAAGGGGAAAAUAAGUUAGAUGAGAGCGUAAUAGAGAUUUAAAAAAAAAAAAAAACAAA